AAGAUGUGCGCCCCCAUGCAGGUAAUCGAGGUGGACAUGGCUGGAAUGGCAAUCGAUAGAUUCUGCGUUUGCGCAAGAGAUGGAGAAGUGUUUAUAGUUGAGUUGGGCAAGUGGACAAUUUUACUAGCUAACGUCACGCCUGACGCUUGUCACGGCAAUAUUUCUUUAUUGUUGAUUUUUUUUGGUAACCUUAUUUAUUUUCUUUUGGCUGUGCAAUUUGGAUGCUUUUUCACGAAAAA
rnacentral:misc_RNA from 1 species